GUCUACGGCCACGCCACCCUGAAUGUGCCUGAUCUCAGCAGGUCUUGGAAGCUAAGCAGGGUCAGGCCUGGUUAGUACUUGGGUGGGAGACCACGUAGGAAGACCAGGUGCUGUAGGAG
rnacentral:rRNA from 1 species